ensembl:snRNA U6 U6 spliceosomal RNA
GUGCUCGCUUCGGCAGCACAUAUACUAAAAUUGGAACCCUACAGAGUAGAUUAGCAUGGCCCCUGCUCAAGGAUGACAUGUAAAUUCAUGAAGCAUUACAUAUUAAA